UACUCCAAAAGAAUGUACAAA
rnacentral:piRNA from 1 species